ACAGGAAUCUAGCUUUCUGUGAUUCAGACGCAAUUUGAACCGUGAGGAGAAAGGGGUACGCCAGUCCACUUUUUCUGCCGUUUCAGCUCUAACAUCAUCUUGAAGCAGCUGGGUCUGGCGGGCUCGCUGACAGUUUGGAUCAGAGGGAUUUUAGUCAGCCUGUAGCUGUAAGCGAAUUUCUCACGACUAUACCCAUCCAGCCUCUCGCACCAAUCACGGAGAU